AAGGCGCUUGAGAGAACUCGGGUGAAGGAACUAGGCAAAAUGGUGCCGUAACUUCGGGAGAAGGCACGCUGGUGUGUAGGUGAAGUCCCUGCGGAUGGAGCUGAGACCAGUCGAAGAUACCAGCUGGCUGCAACUGUUUAUUAAAAACACAGCACUGUGCAAACACGAAAGUGGACGUAUACGGUGUGACGCCUGCCCGGUGCCGGAAGGUUAAUUGAUGGGGUUAUCCGUAAGGAGAAGCUCUUGAUCGAAGCCCCGGUAAACGGCGGCCGUAACUAUAACGGUCCUAAGGUAGCGAAAUUCCUUGUCGGGUAAGUUCCGACCUGCACGAAUGGCGUAAUGAUGGCCAGGCUGUCUCCACCCGAGACUCAGUGAAAUUGAACUCGCUGUGAAGAUGCAGUGUACCCGCGGCAAGACGGAAAGACCCCGUGAACCUUUACUAUAGCUUGACACUGAACAUUGAGCCUUGAUGUGUAGGAUAGGUGGGAGGCUUUGAAGCGUGGACGCCAGUCUGCGUGGAGCCAACCUUGAAAUACCACCCUUUAAUGUUUGAUGUUCUAACGUUGGCCCCUGACCGGGGUUGCGGACAGUGUCUGGUGGGUAGUUUGACUGGGGCGGUCUCCUCCCAAAGCGUAACGGAGGAGCACGAAGGUUAGCUAAUCCUGGUCGGACAUCAGGAGGUUAGUGCAAUGGCAUAAGCUAGCUUGACUGCGAGCGUGACGGCGCGAGCAGGUGCGAAAGCAGGUCAUAGUGAUCCGGUGGUUCUGAAUGGAAGGGCCAUCGCUCAACGGAUAAAAGGUACUCCGGGGAUAACAGGCUGAUACCGCCCAAGAGUUCAUAUCGACGGCGGUGUUUGGCACCUCGAUGUCGGCUCAUCACAUCCUGGGGCUGAAGUAGGUCCCAAGGGUAUGGCUGUUCGCCAUUUAAAGUGGUACGCGAGCUGGGUUUAGAACGUCGUGAGACAGUUCGGUCCCUAUCUGCCGUGGGCGCUGGAGAAUUGAGGGGGGCUGCUCCUAGUACGAGAGGACCGGAGUGGACGCAUCACUGGUGUUCGGGUUGUCAUGCCAAUGGCACUGCCCGGUAGCUAAAUGCGGAAGAGAUAAGUGCUGAAAGCAUCUAAGCACGAAACUUGCCCCGAGAUGAGUUCUCCCUGAGACUUUAAGUCUCCUGAAGGAACGUUGAAGACGACGACGUUGAUAGGCCGGGUGUGUAAGCGCAGCGAUGCGUUGAGCUAACCGGUACUAAUGAACCGUGAGGCUUAACCUU
rnacentral:rRNA from 1 species